UGUUCCUAGGUCUUGUACUCACCGCCCGUCAAGCAUGGAAGAUAGGGGCACUCGAAGUUCCACAACAAAGUGGACCUAAGGUGAAACUAUUGACUGGGACU
rnacentral:rRNA from 1 species